rnacentral:tRNA from 1 species
GCAGAUGUGGCGUAAUUGGCAAACGCAUUCGGCUUAAACCCGGAUGGGGACACCCGUGUCGGUUCGAAUCCGACCGUCUGCA